GUGCUCGCUUCGGCAGCACAUAUACUAAAAUUGGAACGAUAGAGAAGAUUAGCAUGGCCGCUGCGCAAGGAUGACAUGCAAAUUCGUGAAGUGUUCUAUACUUUU
ensembl:snRNA U6 U6 spliceosomal RNA